GAUGAAGAACGUAGCGAAAUGCGAUACGUAAUGUGAAUUGCAGAUUUCAGUGAAUCAUCGAAUCUUUGAACGCACAUUGCGCCCGCUAGUAUUCUGGCGGGCAUGCCUGUUCGAGCGUCAUUUCAACCAUCAAGCCCUAGGCUUGCGUUGGAGCCCUGCGGCUGCCGCAGGCUCCCAAAUCCAGUGGCGGGCUCGUCGUCGUACCGAGUGCAGUAAACAUCCUCGCUCAGGGAACGUGACGGGUUCUUGUCGUGAAACCCCCCACAUAUCAAGGUUGACCUCGGAUCAGGUAGGAAUACCCGCUGAACUUAAGCAUAUCAAUAAGCGGAGGA
rnacentral:misc_RNA from 1 species